AGCCGCGGUCAACAGCACCUUCCUGAUUGAACAGAACCACGCGUUGUCUGUGUGGUUUACAAGUUUCUUGGCGAUAUGGGGGGAAAGUUCCUCACAUACCAACGGAAAAUGGGCUUCAUAUACAUGCUGCUGUCUCAUAAUAUGGCGAAGACGAGUCACCUGAAGGCCUAACUCGCCAUAGAAGACUGAAAGAAUUGUCCUGCAGGAUGCUGU